GAUAGUGUAGCAUAGUGGUAAAGGGUAUGGCUUAUGACCAAAAGGUUGCUGGUUUGAUUCCCCGCUAGGA